rnacentral:lncRNA from 1 species
UAUGAUCUUCACAAAUUCUAUCCAGCUGUCCUGACGAGUGAACAGGUGGAAUGGCGGAAAUGGAAAUUCCUCACUGAAGGAGGAGAGGCCAGUGCUCCUUCAGAUCCCUUGGGACCUGGAAAUGCUGAGUGCACUCGGCCUGCUCUCGCUCCACUGGUAGCAGCGGAGUUUGAGCCCUCCUGGUGUGAACUCUCUUCUGAAACACAGGCUCCCACUGAAGAAUUAAGUUCUCGGGAUCCCAUCUGCAGGAAGUCCAUUGAGUACCUAAGUGGGCAGUUAAUUUUCAGGCAUCCCAGCAGGAUUGGGAGAUGGUGGUGUAAAAAGCACUGGAGUCUGAAGCCCUGCGUGUACAUGGAUGAAGUCUUGCUCCUGCCAUGUGUGUCUUGGUACCAGUUAAAACUGUGCACCGCCCAUACAACAUACAACAGUCUUCAGGCUACUGAUAUUGGUAAGGUAGUAUAUCAGAAAAGGAUAAUAAUGUUAAUGAGGGUAUUAUAUUAUGAUGAAAAAUUCAUAAUAUGUGUCCAUGCUUGGGAUGUAGUAUUUCACAAUAUACUCUUCAAAAUGUAUAAAGAAAAUACUAUUUGGUCUUUCAGGAGGUGGAAUCUGAAGCACUUAAGGAAGACUUCAGUGCUUCACUGGUAUGUAUCUUUUUUCUUUCUUUUCUUUUUUCUUUUUUUUUUUUCCUUUUAGCAAACUAAGUUUUUAUACUGGAAAUAAACCACUGAAGCUCCUGCA